UGCAGAUGAUGUAAGAGAAUAUUUGCUAUCUGAACGAUGGUGAUGACCUCGUAACCACCAAGAUCGCUGAUGCA
rnacentral:snoRNA from 1 species